AUACGGAGGGUGCAAGCGUUAAUCGGAAUUACUGGGCGUAAAGCGUACGUAGGCGGUUCGUUAAGUUAGAUGUGAAAGCCCCGGGCUUAACCUGGGAACUGCAUUUAAAACUGGCGAACUAGAGUUGAGUAGAGGGGAGUGGAAUUUCAGGUGUAGCGGUGAAAUGCGUAGAGAUCUGAAGGAACACCAGUGGCGAAGGCGACUCCCUGGACUCGAACUGACGCUGAGGGACGAAAGCGUGGGGAGCAAGCAGGAUUAGAUACCCUAGUAGUCC
rnacentral:rRNA from 1 species